AUUCCGUAGGUGAACCAGCGGAGGGAUCAUUACAGGACUCGCAAGACUCCUACAACCCUGUGAACUUAACUAUAAGCACGUUGCUUCGGCGGGUGUCUCGGAGGGGGUUCUCCCUCCCCGAGACGCUAAACCCGCCGGCAGCCUACUAUACUCUGUCUCUUUGCGUUGGCAUCUCGAGUACAAUCAAACAAGUUAAAACUUUCAACAACGGAUCUCUUGGUUCUG
rnacentral:misc_RNA from 1 species